rnacentral:lncRNA from 1 species
CUUGGCCAUCAAGAGACCGUUCAACCUUCUUCUUGACUGGACAAUUUGGAUGUGUACACUUGUAAUAACUACGAGGAUAUUCACUUCCCUUGACAUGCUUCUGCCCAUACUUGCGCCAGUUGUAGCCAUCAUCAGCAGGUUUAUCAACAGCAGAGGAAGCAGGUUCUGACCUCUGAUCAGACAGAGAGACAUCAGAUGCUUCUUUACGCCAGUUGUAACCAUCAUCAGCAGGUUUAUCAACAGCAGAGGAAGCAGGUUCUGACCUCUGAUCAGACACAGAGACUUCAGAUGCUUCUUUCAUAAUAUUAGGAUCUGAUGCAGGAGGCAGUAUCUGUUGGUUUGCCGUGGCAUUUGAGAUUAGGGACUGGAA